rnacentral:rRNA from 1 species
ACGGCAGCACGGGUGCAAUCCUGGUGGCGAGUGGCGAACGGGUGAGUAAUACAUCGGAACGUGCCCUGUUGUGGGGGAUAACUAGUCGAAAGAUUAGCUAAUACCGCAUACGACCUGAGGGUGAAAGCGGGGGACCGAAAGGCCUCGCGCAAUAGGAGCGGCCGAUGUCUGAUUAGCUAGUUGGUGGGGUAAAAGCUCACCAAGGCGACGAUCAGUAGCUGGUCUGAGAGGACGAUCAGCCACACUGGGACUGAGACACGGCCCAGACUCCUACGGGAGGCAGCAGUGGGGAAUUUUGGACAAUGGGGGCAACCCUGAUCCAGCAAUGCCGCGUGUGUGAAGAAGGCCUUCGGGUUGUAAAGCACUUUUGUCCGGAAAGAAAUGGCUCUGGUUAAUACCCGGAGUCGAUGACGGUACCGGAAGAAUAAGCACCGGCUAACUACGUGCCAGCAGCCGCGGUAAUACGUAGGGUGCGAGCGUUAAUC